rnacentral:rRNA from 1 species
GACGAACGCUGGCGGCGUGCCUAAUACAUGCAAGUCGAACGCAGUGGGGACGGGUGAGUAACACGUGGGUAACCUCCCAUCAGAGGGGAUAACACUUGGAAACAGGUGCUAAACCGAUACUGAUGGAUGGACCCGCGGUGCAUUAGCUAGUUGGUGAGGUAACGGGUCACCAAGGCCACGAUGCAUAGCCGACCUGGUAGGGUGAACGCGCAAACGGGAACUGAGACACGGCCCAGACUCCUACGGAAGGCAGCAGUAGGGAAUCUUCGGCAAUGGACGAAAGUCUGACCGAACAACGCGGCGUGAUGGAAGAAGGUUUUCGGGUCGUAAAACUCUAUUGUUGGAGAAGCGGUAUUUAACCAGAAAGCCCCGGCUAACUACGUGCCAGCAGCCGCGGUAAUAC